AUGUUCCGGAUAGCGUCGAACAACAACAUUGAUGUAUACGCUGAUUCAGUGAGUGAGUUUAUUAGCAAGUGCAUCGGUGAUGUUGUACCAACAGCAACUAUUAAAACCUUCCCCAACCAGAAACCGUGGAUUUAUGGCAGCAUUCGCACAAAACUGAAAGCGCGAACCACUGCUUUUAAUCAGGGCAAGGCGACCGGAAACAUGACCAAAUACAAACAGUGUAGCUAUUCCCUUCGCAAGGCAAUCAAACAAGCUAAGCGUCAGUAUAGAGACAAAGUAGAGUCGCAAUACAACAGCUCAGACAUGAGAGGAAUGUGGCAGGGUUUACAGUCAAUCACAGACUACAAAAAGAAAACCAGCCCCGUCGCGGACCCAGGUGUCUUGCUCCCAGACAAACUAAACAACUUCUUUGCUCGCUUUGAGGACAAUAAAGUGCCACCGACACGGCCCGCUACCAAAACCUGCGGACUCUCCUUCACCGCAGGCAACAUGAGUGAAACAUUUAAACGUGUUAACCCUCGCAAGGCUGCAGGCCCAGACAGCAUCCCUAGCCGUGUCCUCAGAGCAUGCGCAGACCAGCUGGCUGGUGUGUUUACGGACAUAUUCAAUCAAUCCCUAUCUCAGUCUGCUGUUCCCACAUGCUUCAAAAGGGGCACCAUUGUUCCUGUACACAAGAAAGCUAAGGUAACUGAGCUAAACGAAUAUCGCCCUGUAGCACUCACCGUAAUCAUGAAGUGCUUUGAGAGACUAGUUAAGGAUCAUAUCACCUCCACCCUACCUGACACCCUAGACCCACUCCAAUUUGCUUACCGCCCCAAUAGGUCCACAGACGAUGCAAUCGCAAUCACACUGCACACUGCCCUAACCCAUCUGGACAAGAGGAAUACCUAUGUAAGAAUGCUGUUCAUCGACUACAGCUCAGCAUUUAACACCAUAGUAUCCUCCAAACUCUGGGUCUCGACCCUGCCCUAUGCAACUGGGUCCUGCCUUUCUGAUGGGCCGCCCACAGGUGGUGAGGGUAGGAAACAACAUCGCUACCCCGAUGAUCCUCAACACUGGGGCCCCACAAGGGUAAGUUCUCAGCUCUCUCCUGUACUCCCUGUUCACCCUUGA
rnacentral:lncRNA from 13 species